rnacentral:rRNA from 1 species
CCCUUAGAUGUUCUGGGCUGCACGCGCGCUACACUGAUGCGCUCAACGAGUUUACGACCUUGCCCGGAAGGGUUGGGUAAUCUUUUUAAAACGCAUCGUGAUGGGGAUAGAUUAUUGCAAUUAUUAAUCUUUAACGAGGAAUUCCUAGUAAGCGCGAGUCAUCAGCUCGUGCUGAUUACGUCCCUGCCCUUUGUACACACCGCCCGUCGCACCUACCGAUUGAAUGGUCCGGUGAAAUCUUCGGAUUGAGACUUUGAUUUGUUUACUCAAAACGCUGUUUCAAGAAGUUGAUUAAACCUUACCAUUUAGAGGAAGGUGAAGUCGUAACA